AUAGAGCUAUUAUUUGAGGCCUUGGAAUAAGCAUUGUCAGCUGUCCCACCAUGGAGAAGGAAUGGCUUUGAAUGCACUCCAUGUGCAAAAAAUAAAUAAAUAAACAAAACUAGGACAGCAUAAGUUAUCCCGACACUUAAAGCUUUCUGUGAUCUUCCCUCUCCAGUCAAUCACUCUUCUACAUCACUACAAGCAUUUGACCCCCCAUUAUUUUCUAUGCUUCCAUUUACUCAUGGUGAAUAUAAUCAAUUGCUUCAGUUUUAAAAAAAAAUAUCAACUAAUUCCAAUCAUUUUCUGCCCACUAAGUUCAUCAAACACAGGAAAUUAAUCAAAAUAAGUGUGAAAGAAGAAAAUACUAGCAGGAAAUUAUUGUCAAACUAUAAAAGACAAUCAGACAACUUCAGCAUAACAGAUAAAGAAAUCAAUGACAAAUUUCUUAGGCAACUCGCUG
rnacentral:lncRNA from 1 species